GACGAACGCUGGCGGCGUGCCUAAUACAUGCAAGUAGAACGCUGAAGGAAGGAGCUUGCUCUUUCCGGAUGAGUUGCGAACGGGUGAGUAACGCGUAGGUAACCUGCCUGGUAGCGGGGGAUAACUAUUGGAAACGAUAGCUAAUACCGCAUAACAGUAGAUAUCGCAUGAUAGCUGCUUGAAAGGUGCAAUUGCACCACUACCAGAUGGACCUGCGUUGUAUUAGCUAGUUGGUGAGGUAACGGCUCACCAAGGCAACGAUACAUAGCCGACCUGAGAGGGUGAUCGGCCACACUGGGACUGAGACACGGCCCAGACUCCUACGGGAGGCAGCAGUAGGGAAUCUUCGGCAAUGGGGGCAACCCUGACCGAGCAACGCCGCGUGAGUGAAGAAGGUUUUCGGAUCGUAAAGCUCUGUUGUAAGAGAAGAACGAGUGUGAGAGUGGAAAGUUCACACUGUGACGGUACUUCC
rnacentral:rRNA from 1 species